rnacentral:rRNA from 1 species
CUGGUUGAUCCUGCCAGUAGUCGCAUGCUUCUCUCACGGCUUCCAAGCCAUGCAUGUCUAGGAGCACACCACAUUUCCAAUGGUGGAUCUGCGGAUGGCUCCUUAUAACCGAAGUAAUUUCGGACUGCAGUGCAACGUUUGUGCUACCCUCUCUCGAGAGUGUCGCCUGUCUCUUAUGUUCGUCGCGGACGGCUGACCUGCCCAACUGGCUGGCUAAUUCGUGUGUGAUACCCACUGCCUCUCUGGCAGUUCCCGCAGUCACACAGAGUUCACUCUGUGCUCCAUUGGGUUCCUGUCGAGGCAGUGGUGCUAUCAGCCGCCACGAAGACUGCACGUCCUUACCGACUCCUUGUCGGGAAGCAGGACACCACUCGGGUCGGUGACCCAAGUUGAUCUGCCCCAAGCAGGCCCAUCUGUGUGUGCAUCCUUCCGACCCGUGUCGAUAUCCCAGUUGGGGCCUCUUUUGGUCCCCAUCUGGAACGCGCUACCUGCGUGGCAGUGCUAGCUUCUGACCAAUCAGCUCGGUUUGGAGUUUCAUUGACUCUAAUGGCGCUCACUGGUAACGGGGAAUCAGGGUUCGACUCCGGAGAAGCAGCCCGAGAGACGGCUACUGCUGCUAAGGCAGACAGCAGGCGCGCAAAUUAUCCAAUGGCAACACCGUGGUUGUUGAGGUAGCAACGAGCAGAAGCAGUGUACCCAUUUCUCUUUUACUAGAGCCGGGACAUUUGCAAUGGAGGCCAUCUAAACCCAUCCUGCAGUAUCGGCUGGAGGGCAAGUCUGGUGCCAGCAGCCGCGGUAAUUCCAGCUCCAGUAGUGUGCACUAUCGUUGUUGCUGUUAAAACGCUCACAGUUGACCUCACCGAGAGUGGAGCUGCUACAGAGGCCUCGUCCGGUGACGUCCCGAUGUGUCGCCUUCCCGGUUGCACUUCGUGUGAUGUCUCCCCCGGCAGGCAAUUACACUCUGCAGCAGUAUCUUGUAUGUCUCCGCUCUCACUCCAAUCGUGAAAUCAAACGGGGCCGCAGAGUCUCGUUACACAGUUCUCUGUGUGCGGGUAUCUUCUACGUGGUGUCGCCAGUAACAGUUUGCUGUGGCACAGGCCAUAGGGUGACGGGUUUCUUGGCUUCGGCCUCGAUGCCCUUCUCCGACCCUCGCCUCCCAUCUGCCCUGUUCAUGUUUGCUCCCGUGAAUAACGCGACGCGUUCAUCGCAACCGACCUGUCGGCUGCACGUCACAGCAUGGUACAGCAGGGUAUCGACCGGUGGGCCCUUCUUCUGUCCGUCUUCAAUGCCCAGUCUACGGACAACCCGACUCGCGACACCUGGUGUGGUCCUUCGGCAAGGGGAGGAAGGUUCUUUGAUGCUCAGGCUUCUGCCUUAUCCCGUCACUGUUCCCUCCGUUAUCACCCUUGCUGAUCGUCCAAUAGGCGCGUGUUCGAUCGGCAGCAAGGUGCUCCACCGGGGUCAUCCGUAUUGCGGCGCGAGAGGUGAAAUUCUUAGACCGCUGCAGGACGACCCGAAGCGAAGGCAUUUUGCCAGAUGGUGUUUGUCAGUCAAGAACGAGAGUAUGGGGAUCGAAGAUGAUCAGAUACCGUCGUAGUCCAUGUACAGUAAACUGUACCGGCUCGGAGUCGGGGGCCCGUUCUGUUUCGCCCCGCCACAAACGAACCCCUCGGCACCUUCUUCCCCAUAACGAGAAAUCCAGAGCUUCUGGGUUCAGGGGGUAGUACGGUCGCAAGGCUGAAACUUAAAGGAAUUGACGGAAUGACACCACCAGGCGUGGAGUCUGCGGCUUAAUUUGACUCAACACGGGGAACCUUACCAGGUCCGGAUAACUCCUGGAUUGACAGACUGACAGCUCUUUCUUGAUUCGUUAGACGGUGGUGCAUGGCCGUUCUUGGUUGGUGCAGCGAUGUGUCUGGUUUAUUCCGAUAACGAGCGAGAUGCCUACCUCCCAAUAGGCGCCGGUUGUCGUAACCUUGUAGGACGGGCACCGAAGGCUGGUCUCGGUGGGUCUUCGUGCCCUCCUUUUUGGCUCCUCGUGGGUCAUUGCCACGCCUUCAACAUCUACCCGUCCGAGACGCCGUGCUGCUACUCAGAGGGACCCGGUGAAGAUCCUACAAAUUCUCACGAGGAGAGUGCGCAACAGCAGGUCUGUGAUGCUCCUAAACGUUCUGGGCUGCACGCGCACGACACUGGCACAGAGAACAAGCUUCUCUUUCCUUUCCGGUUCGUUCACUGCGGUGGACCCGGAGGGUCCUGCCCCGUGAGGGGUCGGGAAUCUUCGAGCCUGUGCCGUGCUGGGGAUCGAUGAUUGUCACUGUUUGCCGUGAACGAGGAAUGCCUAGUAGGCGCAGGUCAUCAGCCUGUCCCGAUUACGUCCCUGCCAUUUGUACACACCGCCCGUCGUUGCUACCGAUGG